UUAUUUUGUGAAUAUAAAGUGGUCAACUGUGAGACUCAAGCAAAGUCCCUUUCCAGCCUUCCUUCCCUCUGGGAUUAAAGGAACGUCAGACCUGAGCCCAUAACUUACACUAUCAAGAGGCACCGACUUAUUUUGUGAAUAUAAAGUGGUCAACUGUGAGACUCAAGCAAAGUCCCUUUCCAGCCUUCCUUCCCUCUGGGAUUAAAGGAACGUCAGACCUGAGCCCAUAACUUACACUAUCAAGAGGCACCGACUUAUUUUGUGAAUAUAAAGUGGUCAACUGUGAGACUCAAGCAAAGUCCCUUUCCAGCCUUCCUUCCCUCUGGGAUUAAAGGAACGUCAGACCUGAGCCCAUAACUUACACUAUCAAGAGGCACCGACUUAUUUUGUGAAUAUAAAGUGGUCAACUGUGAGACUCAAGCAAAGUCCCUUUCCAGCCUUCCUUCCCUCUGGGAUUAAAGGAACGUCAGACCUGAGCCCAUAACUUACACUAUCAAGAGGCACCGACUUAUUUUGUGAAUAUAAAGUGGUCAACUGUGAGACUCAAGCAAAGUCCCUUUCCAGCCUUCCUUCCCUCUGGGAUUAAAGGAACGUCAGACCUGAGCCCAUAACUUACACUAUCAAGAGGCACCGACUUAUUUUGUGAAUAUAAGCUGUCUGGUUCAAGCAGUGCCAUACCAGCACAACAUUACCACCGUGUGCCAAUGUCCUGAGGCUGUGUCAUGAGAAUGAUCAUAAUUGCAUCAUCACUGACAAGGCAUUCUGCUGUUAACAUCAACCUGCUGUGGUGUAGCACAGUGUGCUGCUGUUUCUGCUGCUGACGCUGUGAAGACAUAUAUUAAGAUGGAGUUAUUGGGAGGUGUGACAGCUUCUGAGAAAGUGGCAUACAACAUGGAGGAAUUCCAGAUGAUAAAGGUCCAAUUUGUUUCACAUUCCCAUAAGAUUAGGAUUACUCAACAAAAGGAAAUAACAGAUACGUGUAUACCAUCAAAAUAAAAUAAGAUGUCAUAAUUAUGUGAGAGAUUUCUUCUUGUCAGGCUUUCAUACUUACAGCAUCAUUAUGUGGUCUGUAAAUAUAUUAAUUGAGCUUUCUGUGACUUUAAAUCAGUUAAAGUGGAAGGAAAUGUAGAAUGGCAGUAAUGAAUAUUUUGGAACUGAAAGCAUACCUGACUGUGAAACAGUACUUGUACUUCCUGUUACACUUCUUAACUGCAGAUGGUUUAUGAAAUUUCAUUGCAGAAAUUACUACAGUUUUUCAGUCAUAUUACAGUAAAUGCAAUAAUUCAAAUGAAGGUCGACCUGAAGCUCAUUCACUACUUGCAAGUAAUUGCUCAUUACAUUACUAAUUGCAUGAUAUAUAACUGGUUAAUGACAGUUGCAUAUAUUGUGUCAUUAAAAUAAAGUCAUUUGCUAUUUAACAUGA